GGGAUACUACUGGAAACGGUAGCUAAUACCGCAUAACGUCGCAAGACCAAAGAGGGGGACCUUCGGGCCUCUUGCCAUCAGAUGUGCCCAGAUGGGAUUAGCUAGUAGGUGGGGUAACGGCUCACCUAGGCGACGAUCCCUAGCUGGUCUGAGAGGAUGACCAGCCACACUGGAACUGAGACACGGUCCAGACUCCUACGGGAGGCAGCAGUGGGGAAUAUUGCACAAUGGGCGCAAGCCUGAUGCAGCCAUGCCGCGUGUAUGAAGAAGGCCUUCGGGUUGUAAAGUACUUUCAGCGGGGAGGAAGGUGUUGUGGUUAAUAACCGCAGCAAUUGACGUUACCCGCAGAAGAAGCACCGGCUAACUCCGUGCCAGCAGCCACGGGUAAUACGAA
rnacentral:rRNA from 1 species